rnacentral:rRNA from 1 species
UACGUAGGGUGCAAGCGUUAAUCGGAAUUACUGGGCGUAAAGCGUGCGUAGGCGGUUGGUUAGGUCUGUCGUGAAAGCCCUGGGCUCAACCUGGGAAUGGCGAUGGAAACUGGCCAGCUAGAGUGUGAUAGAGGAUGGCGGAAUUCCCGGUGUAGCGGUGAAAUGCGUAGAGAUCGGGAGGAACAUCCGUGGCGAAGGCGGCCAUCUGGAUCAACACUGACGCUGAGGCACGAAAGCGUGGGGAGCAAACAGG